GUAGUACUCCCUCCGUUCGGAAUUACUUGUCACAAAAAUGGAUGUAUCUACAACUAAAAUACAUCUAGAUACAUUCAUUUCUUGGACGAGUAAUUUCGAACGGAGGGAGUAUGUA
rnacentral:pre_miRNA from 1 species